rnacentral:rRNA from 1 species
UACGUAGGGUGCAAGCGUUGUCCGGAAUUAUUGGGCGUAAAGAGCUCGUAGGCGGUUUGUUGCGUCGGCUGUGAAAUCCCGAGGCUCAACCUCGGGUCUGCAGUCGAUACGAGCAAACUAGAGUGUUGCAGGGGAGACUGGAAUUCCUGGUGUAGCGGUGAAAUGCGCAGAUAUCAGGAGGAACACCGGUGGCGAAGGCGGCAUCCUGGACCAACACUGACACUGAGGAGCGAAAGCCAGGGGAGCAAACGGG